rnacentral:rRNA from 1 species
AAUAGAUACCCGGGUAGUCCACCCCGUAAACGUUGGGAACUAGUUGUGGGGUCCUUUCCACGGAUUCCGUGACGCAGCUAACGCAUUAAGUUCCCCGCCUGGGGGAGUACGGCCGCAAGGCUAAAACUCAAAGGAAUUGACGGGGACCCGCACAAGCGGCGGAGCAUGCGGAUUAAUUCGAUGCAACGCGAAGAACCUUACCAAGGCUUGACAUACACGAGAACACUCUGGAAACAGGGGACUCUUUGGACACUCGUGAACAGGUGGUGCAUGGUUGUCGUCAGCUCGUGUCGUGAGAUGUUGGGUUAAGUCCCGCAACGAGCGCAACCCUCGUUCUAUGUUGCCAGCACGUUAUGGUGGGAACUCAUGGGAUACUGCCGGGGUCAACUCGGAGGAAGGUGGGGAUGACGUCAAAUCAUCAUGCCCCUUAUGUCUUGGGCUUCACGCAUGCUACAAUGGCCGGUACAAAGGGCUGCAAUACCGUGAGGUGGAGCGAAUCCCAAAAAGCCGGUCCCAGUUCGGAUUGAGGUCUGCAACUCGA